GCAUAACGCGAAGAACCUUACCAAGGCUUGACAUGCAUCUCUAAGCGCGUGAAAGCGCGUGACCCUUCGGGGAAUUUGCACAGGUGCUGCAUGGCCGUCGUCAGCUCGUGUCGUGAGAUGUUGGGUUAAGUCCCGCAACGAGCGCAACCCCUGUGAUUAGUUGCCAGCGGAUAAUGCCGGGGACUCUAGUCAGACUGCCCAGAUCAACUGGGAGGAAGGUGGGGACGACGUCAGGUCAGUAUGGCCCUUACGCCUUGGGCUGCACACGUACUACAAUGCCCAGUACAAUGAGAACCGAGACCGCGAGGUGGAGGAAAUCUGCAAAACUGGGCCCAGUUCGGAUUGGAGGCUGCAACUCGCCUCCAUGAAGCCGGAAUCGCUAGUAAUGCUGCAUCAGCUACGGCAGCGUGAAUACGUUCCCGGGUCUUGUACACACCG
rnacentral:rRNA from 1 species